UGGGGAAUAUUGCGCAAUGGGGGAAACCCUGACGCAGCAACGCCGCGUGAGUGAGGAAGGACUUCGGUCUGUAAAGCUCUGUUAAUGUGGAAAAAUGUCAGUUGGUCUAAUAGGCCGAUUGAUUGAUGGUACACAUAGAGGAAGCACCGGCUAACUUCGUGCCAGCAGCCGCGGUAAUACGAAGGGUGCAAGCGUUGUUCGGAUUUAUUGGGCGUAAAGCGCGUGUAGGCGGACUGAUAAGUCAGAUGUGAAAUCUCGGGGCUCAACCUCGAAACUGCGUCUGAAACUGCCAGUCUAGAAUCUUGGAGGGGGAAGGGGAAUUUCGCAUGUAGGGGUAAAAUCCGUAGAGAUGCGAAGGAACACCAGAGGCGAAGGCGCCUUCCUGGACAAGUAUUGACGC
rnacentral:rRNA from 1 species